AACGAACGCUGGCGGCAGGCCUAACACAUGCAAGUCGAACGCUCGUAGCAAUACGGGAGUGGCAGACGGGUGCGUAACGCGUGGGAACAUACCCUUUGGUUCGGAAUAACUCAGGGAAACUUGAGCUAAUACCGGAUACGCCCGAGAGGGGAAAGAUUUAUUGCCGAAGGAUUGGCCCGCGUCUGAUUAGCUAGUUGGUAGGGUAACGGCCUACCAAGGCGACGAUCAGUAGCUGGUCUGAGAGGAUGAUCAGCCACACUGGGACUGAGACACGGCCCAGACUCCUACGGGAGGCAGCAGUGGGGAAUAUUGGACAAUGGGCGCAAGCCUGAUCCAGCCAUGCCGCGUGAGUGAUGACGGCCUUAGGGUUGUAAAGGCUCUUUUACCUGGGAAGAUAAUGACGGUACCAGGAGAAUAAGCCCGGCUAACUUCGUGCCAGCAGCCGCGGUAAU
rnacentral:rRNA from 1 species